rnacentral:rRNA from 1 species
UACGUAGGGCGCAAGCGUUGUCCGGAAUUAUUGGGCGUAAAGAGCUCGUAGGCGGUCUGUCACGUCGGCUGUGAAAACCCGGGGCUCAACCCCGGGCCUGCAGUCGAUACGGGCAGACUGGAGUCCGGCAGGGGAGACUGGAAUUCCCGGUGUAGCGGUGAAAUGCGCAGAUAUCGGGAGGAACACCGGUGGCGAAGGCGGGUCUCUGGGCCGGUACUGACGCUGAGGAGCGAAAGCGUGGGGAGCGAACAGG